rnacentral:miRNA from 1 species
UAAGCUUCUGGACUUUGCAUC